rnacentral:sRNA from 1 species
CUUUUAUAAAGCCCAGACUUAAAACUUGACUGUACUUAACUAGUUUUGAGCCUUUUUAAAAAUAUUUUCUUUUUGGAAAAUGAUGUAUACUUUUCCUGCGUUUGCAUAAACUCAUCUUAUGGCUCACCAUUAUGUCCAGCAUAAAUAAAACGAUGAUAGACAGGACCAUUUAUAGAGCUAAACUUUGGGAACUUUAAAAAUGCGGCAUGUCGGCUUGCAUUAAUGAGAGAUAACAUCUUAAGAAAAUCGAAUAAUGCAACAUCCCCAAACGACAGCAACUGUUAUUAUAAUUAUUCGAGAACACAUUAUCAAAAAAUCUUACAAUGCAUACAACAGAGCAGUUUUUGAGUAUAACCCAAAUAAAAAAAAGCCAUUCCACCUCCUGACGAUCACUA